rnacentral:rRNA from 1 species
AUGUACAUGGUACAACAACUUAACAAGCAUCAAGGAUUUGUCUAUCGCCAUAUGGUAGAGCCGCGGAUGGCCAUUGUGGAUGGCCGCAGGCAGAUACCCCACGGGCUCCUUCCCUUUAGGAAAUCAUUCAACAACACUUUCAUUGCUGCUGGAGGAUAUGAUCAAGCGGAAGGCAACAAAGUAGUGGCCAACGGCUAUGCUGAUCUCGUUGCUUACGGGGCGAUCUUUCUGGCUAAUCCAGAUUUGCCUAAGAGAUUUGAGCUCGACUCACCCUUGAACAAGUACGACCGUAACACUUUCUACACGCAAGAUCCUGUCAUUUGCUACACAGAUUAUCCUUUCCUUGAAGGCGGCUCAAAUGCCGAGUAG